rnacentral:rRNA from 1 species
ACGCUGGCGGCAUGCUUUACACAUGCAAGUCGGACGGCAGCACAGAGAAGCUUGCUUCUUGGGUGGCGAGUGGCGAACGGGUGAGUAACAUAUCGGAACGUACCGAGCAGUGGGGGAUAACUAGUCGAAAGAUUAGCUAAUACCGCAUAUAUUCUGAGGAAGAAAGCAGGGGACCAUUUGGCCUUGCGCUGUUUGAGCGGCCGAUAUCUGAUUAGCUAGUUGGUGGGGUAAAGGCCUACCAAGGCGACGAUCAGUAGCGGGUCUGAGAGGAUGAUCCGCCACACUGGGACUGAGACACGGCCCAGACUCCUACGGGAGGCAGCAGUGGGGAAUUUUGGACAAUGGGCGCAAGCCUGAUCCAGCCAUGCCGCGUGUCUGAAGAAGGCCUUCGGGUUGUAAAGGACUUUUGUCAGGGAAGAAAAGGACAGGGUUAAUACCCCUGUCUGAUGACGGUACCUGAAGAAUAAGCACCGGCUAACUACGUGCCAGCAGCCGCGGUAAUACGUAGGGUGCGAGCGUUAAUCGGAAUUACUGGGCGUAAAGCGGGCGCAGACGGUUACUUAAGCAGGAUGUGAAAUCCCCGGGCUCAACCUGGGAACUGCGUUCUGAACUGGGUGACUAGAGUGUGUCAGAGGGAGGUAGAAUUCCACGUGUAGCAGUGAAAUGCGUAGAGAUGUGGAGGAAUACCGAUGGCGAAGGCAGCCUCCUGGGAUAACACUGACGUUCAUGCCCGAAAGCGUGGGUAGCAAACAGGAUUAGAUACCCUGGUAGUCCACGCCCUAAACGAUGUCGAUUAGCUGUUGGGCAGCUUGACUGCUUAGUAGCGAAGCUAACGCGUGAAAUCGACCGCCUGGGGAGUACGGUCGCAAGAUUAAAACUCAAAGGAAUUGACGGGGACCCGCACAAGCGGUGGAUGAUGU